rnacentral:rRNA from 1 species
CCAUAAACUCUGAGACGUGAUACCGAGCCGCUUCAGGCGAAGUCAUUGAUCCUAUGCUGCCUAGAAAAGCCCAGCAGCGAGUUGACAUGGUGCCCGUACCCCAAACCAACACAGGUGGACAGGUAGAGCAUACCAAGGCGAGUGGGAUAACUAUGGUUAAGGAACUCGGCAAAUUGCCUCCGUAACUUCGGGAGAAGGAGGACCCCAGUAGCGUGAUGAGACUUGCUCUCUGAGCGUGAAGGGGUGGCACAAAAUUGAGGGAAGCGACUGUUUACCAAAAACACAGCAGCGUGCUAAGCCGUAAGGCGCUGUAUACGCUGUGACUCCUGCCCGGUGCUGGAAGGUUACGGGGAUGGGUUAGUCCUUCGGGACGAAGCUCUGAACCUAAGCCCCAGUAAACGGCGGCCGUAACUAUAACGGUCCUAAGGUAGCGAAAUUCCUUGUCGGGUAAGUUCCGACCUGCACGAAUGGAGUAACGACUUCCCUACUGUCUCAACCAUAGACCCAGCGAAAUUGAAGUACGAGUAAAGAUGCUCGUUAGCUGCAGAAGGACGGAAAGACCCCGUGGACCUUUACUAUAACUUGAUGUUGUGUUUCGUCAUAUGUUGUGUAGGAUAGGUGGGAGACUUGGAAGCAUGGACGCUAGUCUGUGUGGAGUCAUCGUUGAAAUACCACCCUGCAUAUGGUGAGGCUCUAACCUUGACCCGUUAUCCGGGUUGAGGACAGCGUCAGGCGGGUAGUUUAACUGGGGCGGUUGCCUCCUAAAGAGUAACGGAGGCGCCCAAAGGUUCCCUCAGCCUGGUUGGCAAUCAGGCGUUGAGUGCAAUGGCAAAAGGGAGCUUGACUGCGAGACCUACAAGUCGAGCAGGAGCGAAAGCUGGGCAUAGUGAUCCGGCGGUUGCGUGUGGAAGCGCCGUCGCUCAACGGAUAAAAGGUACCCCGGGGAUAACAGGCUAAUCUUGCCCAAGCGUCCAUAGCGACGGCAAGGUUUGGCACCUCGAUGUCGGCUCAUCGCAUCCUGGGGCUGAAGCAGGUCCCAAGGGUUGGGCUGUUCGCCCAUUAAAGCGGUACGCGAGCUGGGUUCAGAACGUCGUGAGACAGUUCGGUCCCUAUCCUCUGCAGCCGGAGGUGAAUUGAGGAAAGCUGUCCCUAGUACGAGAGGACCGGGACGGACGCAGCUCUCGUGUGCCAGUUGUCCUGCCAAGGGCAUGGCUGGUUAGCGACCUGCGGAAAGGAUAACCGCUGAAAGCAUCUAAGCGGGAAGCCUCUUCCAAGAUGAAUUCACCCACAGGGUUAACCUGGUAAGGCCCGUGGUAGACCACCACGUUGAUAGGCCGGAAGUGUAAGCGUGGCAACACGUUCAGCUGACCGGUACUAAUCGGCCGAGGGCUCG